rnacentral:rRNA from 1 species
UACGUAGGUGGCAAGCGUUGUCCGGAUUUAUUGGGUUUAAAGGGUGCGUAGCGGCCGCCUAAGUCAGUUGUGAAAUACCCCGGCUCAACCGGGGGGGUGCGAUUGAUACUGGGCGGCUCGAGUAACAGCGAGGUUGGCGGAAUUGACGGUGUAGCGGUGAAAUGCAUAGAUAUCGUCAAGAACACCGAUAGCGAAGGCAGCCAACUAGGGGUUAACUGACGCUGAGGCACGAAAGUGCGGGGAUCAAACAGG